UGGGGAAUAUUGCACAAUGGGGGAAACCCUGAUGCAGCAACGCCGCGUGAGUGAUGAAGGCCUUCGGGUUGUAAAGCUCUGUUUACAGGGACGAUAAUGACGGUACCUGUGGAGGAAGCCACGGCUAACUACGUGCCAGCAGCCGCGGUAAUACGUAGGUGGCAAGCGUUGUCCGGAUUUACUGGGCGUAAAGGGAGCGUAGGCGGAUUUUUAAGUGGGAUGUGAAAUACCCGGGCUCAACUUGGGUGCUGCAUUCCAAACUGGAAGUCUAGAGUGUUGGAGAGGAAAGUGGAAUUCCUAGUGUAGCGGUGAAAUGCGUAGAUAUUAGGAAGAACACCAGUGGCGAAGGCGACUUUCUGGACAAUAACUGACGCUGAGGCUCGAAAGCGUGGGGAGCAAACA
rnacentral:rRNA from 1 species